rnacentral:rRNA from 1 species
UACGUAGGGGCCGAGCGUUGUCCGGAGUUAUUGGGCGUAAAGCGCGCGCAGGCGGCCUCGCGCGCCCGACGUGAAAGCCCCCGGCUUAACCGGGGAGGGUCGUUGGGGACGGCGGGGCUUGAGGGCGGGAGAGGGUGGUGGAAUUCCCGGUGUAGUGGUGAAAUGCGUAGAGAUCGGGAGAAACACCCGUGGCGAAGGCGGCCACCUGGGCCGACCCUGACGCUGAGGCGCGAAGGCGUGGGGAGCGAACGGG